rnacentral:rRNA from 1 species
GAUGAACGCUGGCGGCGUGCCUAAUACAUGCAAGUCGAGCGAACAGACCAGGAGCUUGCUCCUCUGACGUUAGCGGCGGACGGGUGAGUAACACGUGGAUAACCUACCUAUAAGACUGGGAUACCUUCGGGAAACCGGAGCUAAUACCGGAUAAUAUAUUGAACCGCAUGGUUCAAUAGUGAAAUACGGUUUUGCUGUCACUUAUAGAUGGCUCCGCGCCGCAUUAGCUACUUGGUAAGGUAACGGCUUACCAAGGCGACGAUGCGUAGCCGACCUGAGCGGGUGAUCGGCCACACUGGAAGUGAGACACGGUCCAGACUCCUACGGGGAGCAGCAGUAGGGAAUCUUACGCAAUGGGCGAAAGCCUGACGGAGCAACGCCGCGUGAGGGAUGAAGGUCUUCGGAUCGGAAAACUCUGUUAGUAGGGAAGAACAAAUGUGUAAGUAACUAUGCACGUAUUGACGGUACCUAAUCAGAAAGCCACGGCUAACUACGUG